UUCCCUGUGGCUCAGUUGGUAGAGCAUGGUGUUUGCAACGCCAGGGUUGUGGGUUCGAUUCCCACGGGGGGAC
rnacentral:tRNA from 1 species